GGAAGGGUGGCCGAGUGGUUUAAGGCAACGGUUUGCUAAACCGUGACCCCGUAAAAAGGGUCCCAUGGGUUCGAAUCCCAUCCCUUCCGCCA
rnacentral:tRNA from 1 species